CGUUAUUAAAGCCUUAAGGGUUUUGAUUAUUCAAACUGAAAAUAUUCAGAUUCCAAACCAAUAAUCAAUAUAACCAAGUAUCAUUCAGCAUGUCAGCACGUCAAUAUCGGUUAUAUCGCAUCUGUUUGACUGUUUCAUUUUCCAAAUAUAGAUAUAAUGAAACAUAAUAGUAAUACUUCUCGUGUUCUGGAAGUGUCUUUGUUUGUAAUAUGAAACGAGGAUAAAAUCAUUGACGUUCCGGUCGGUUCUGACGAAGAUCAGUGUGUAAGCAUGGCUGGUGUAAGAGUUCUAUUAUCGUUUAGUCUUCUAUGUUUGACAUUACAUUUUAUAGUCAACCGAACAGAUGCUUCCAGGAAGGUGAGUAAUAAUUUAUAUAACGAAAUACUUCGUUAUUUGCUUC